CUCUGACAGCCACCUGCCAGACUAGCCAAGCCUGCCUAACCUCUGCUCACCUCAGCUUAAACGUCACUUCCUCAGAGAUACCUUCCCUUCACCUGCUGCAGCUCUCACUUGCCUCCUGGGCUCCCCACGGUCUGUCCUUCUAUCUGCAUUGGGGCUUACCACCUGUGGCGCUUACCCCUCCAGCAGACUGCAGGGCGUCCCCUGAGCAGGGGCCUGCUUCAUCCUCUCUGUUUACCACUACAUCCCUAACACCAAUACUUCCAGAAUCACUUCACGGUGGUUCCCUCUAUCUCAAACCUGGCAUUUGAAACUUGGUGUUAGGUAGGUGGGGUUGCCAAGGAAGAUGCUGGAACAAAUCCCUGCAUUUCCUGAGCGGGUUAGCUGGUGACUGUGUGAACCUACAGUCCCUGUGGUAUGUGUGAUUCAGUGCCCUCAGCCUGGCAUUCGGCCGUUUGGUGAGAUGAACGCCUGCCUACACCCAAGACUCCAGGUGCUCAGCUGCAAGCCUGGUGGUUAGAAGUGGCACAGGGGCAGACCCAGAGGGGAGGGAGGGACACAGGUGACUGUAUCCCUCAGCCACGUGGCCUUGCCAGGCACCAGGGAGCCAAGGAACAAAUGAGGGGUGUUGCCAAGGAGGAUCACGAGUAGAGAGCAACAAAGCCAGAGACCCUCAAGGUUUAGGAUUCCAAGGUUCAGUGUGCGCCUGACUGCUCAGCUGGGAGUUUCCUUUGCUUUUAUGGAUUUCAAGUGAGGGAAAUGAGGUCACUUGUCAAGAAAUGUACAUUUUCUCAGAAAACAUUGUUGCAAUGGAAGCAGCAAGGCAUAAAACAGAACCCAGGAACUGUUGAAAAGCUAUCACCCACCCUGUCUGAGCCUCAGUUCACUCACUUGUAUCCAGAAGCCUCAACAGAUAAUUGAAUAAUUAAGUGAAAUCACCUAUUCGCUGGAGGACACAGCCCUGCCAUCUCCACAGUCCUUCACCAGGCUUUCCCCAGCCCCCAGCUCCAGCCUCAGGAAGUGGAGCUGCUGAGAAUCUCUCCUCCAGCCUCGCCUCCUGCCGAGAGUGUCCUCUGCGUGAGCAUUUCCUGGCCUAAUUAAGCUGGGUAAUGAGUAGCUAAGAGGGAGGGGAUAAAAGCCCUAGGCGGCUUAGAGCUGGGACAGUUUAUGACAGGGGCGUCUGCAGCUGGUGACACUCUUAGGAAAGUUAUUUCUCAUAACCUGGGAAGUUGCAUGCUGUUUCCAUAGCACAGUGAGCCCCAAGGUAAGCACAGGGAGUAUUGCACUUAAGAGGGACCAGCUGGAGGGUCCUGAGAGGGUCCUGAGAGGGUCCUGAGUGGGGUGGUACUGGGGGGGUCUGAGAAAAGGACUGAUCCCAGCUGCGGAGCAGUCCUGAGCCGCCCAGGCUAAUGCCCUUGGCUUAGCCCCAGGCCGGGGUGUCCUUGGUGACCACGUGUGACUCCCCAGGGCUGGGGUUUUAUGUUUCAUUUGAAUGAUAGGACUGUGCACUGUGGGCAGUUUCCUAAGACCGUGUCCGACCCGAGUAAGGUAAUCUGAGCCAGACGCUGAUCCUGACUCCCCUCAGUCCUCUUUUAAGGUGCCCAAUAUUGUGUCCUGGAAAAUACCAAGCGCCCAGCAGCCAAGCAGGAGCCCUGGGGGACUGGGGAAGGCUGACAGCAGCCUGGCCUUUCAGAGACCUUCAAAGGCCAAAAGUUGACUGUUUCCACUUCCAACCUCUGCCUCAAGAACCCAACUCCACAACCACAGCCUGCAUACCUUGGCACCGUGUCUAUUUCAUCUGUUUAAAUCACUUUGCACUCAGGCAUUAGUUGGCCACCCCCCACCCCGCACCCCCUGCUCUGGUGUGUGAGGGGGAGGCAGUGUGUUGGGGCCUGGGUCUUGGAGUAGGUUUCAUCACUAGAACAGGGGUUUCCCCUGUACAAUCAGGGCUUUGGCAAUGCCUAGCCUCCAAUGUGCUAUGAGCGCACAACCUCCACUGUCCAUGAGUGGGGGGAAUGGCCAAAACGUGGUCACAUUUCCCAAGCCUUUCAAACUAGGGGACAAUAUGUGCACUUUUACACCCAGGAGCAACUUGCUCUGAUUAUCAGUGUAGAGAAGAGCUGUACCCAGUGAAUGUUACUGAUGAUGGAAGAGCUCAGCCUUCCUCCUGCACUCCAAAAUCGCUAUUUUGAACUUUUCUAAUUUUCUUUCUUUUUUUUUUAAGUAGGCUCCAUGCCCAAUGUGGGCCUUGAACUCAAGAUCAAGAGUCAUAUGCUCUACCAACUAAGCCAGCCAGGUGCCCCUUGAUCCUUUCUAAUUUUCUGAAGAAGACUGUUUCAGGCCAUGUCCUCAGAACCCCACUUCCUCUUGGUGGCCAGAGCUCAGGGCCCACGGCUACAGGAAAUUUGCAGAGUCCCUCCUUUUUUUUUGUCUCUUUUCACUCUCUCCCCUUUGCUGUUCUCAUAAUCUUAUCUACCCUCUUGGCCUACUUCUCUUUCUUUUUAACCCAUUUUUUAUUGAGAUAUAAUUAACAUAAUUUGUAUGAGUUUAAGAUAUAAAAAAACAGUUUGCUCCAUGUA